AUUGAACGCUGGCGGCAGGCCUAACACAUGCAAGUCGAACGGUAACAGGAAGCAGCUUGCUGCUUUGCUGACGAGUGGCGGACGGGUGAGUAAUGUCUGGGAAACUGCCUGAUGGAGGGGGAUAACUACUGGAAACGGUAGCUAGUACCGCAUAACGUCGCAAGACCAAAGAGGGGGACCUUCGGGCCUCUUGCCAUCGGAUUUGCCCAGAUGGGAUUAGCUAGUAGGUGGGGUAACGGCUCACCUAGGCGACGAUCCCUAGCUGGUCUGAGAGGAUGACCAGCCACACUGGAACUGAGACACGGUCCAGACUCCUACGGGAGGCAGCAGUGGGGAAUAUUGCACAAUGGGCGCAAGCCUGAUGCAGCCAUGCCGCGUGUAUGAAGAAGGCCUUCGGGUUGUAAAGUACUUUCAGCGGGGAGGAAGGGAGUAAAGUUAAUACCUUUGCUCAUUGACGUUACCCGCAGAAGAAGCACCGGCUAACUCCGUG
rnacentral:rRNA from 1 species